rnacentral:rRNA from 1 species
GUAGGUGGCAAGCGUUGUCCGGAUUUAUUGGGCGUAAAGCGAGUGCAGGCGGGUCAAUAAGUCUGAUGUGAAAAGCUUCUGGUCCAACGGAGAAUUGCAUCAGAAACUGUUGAACUUGAGUGCAGAAGAGGAGAGUGGAACUCCAUGUGUAGCGGUGGAAUGCGUAGAUAUAUGGAAGAACACCAGUGGCGAAGGCGGCUCUCUGGUCUGCAACUGACGCUGAGGCUCGAAAGCAUGGGUAGCGAA